UACAGAGGGGGCAAGCGUUAUUCGGAAUUAUUGGGCGUAAAGGGCGCGUAGGCGGCUUUGCAAGUGACGGGUGAAAUCCCUCGGCUUAACCGAGGAACUGCCUGUCAAACUGCAUGGCUUGAGACCGGGAGAGGUGAGUGGAAUUCCCAGUGUAGCGGUGAAAUGCGUAGAUAUUGGGAGGAACACCAGUGGCGAAGGCGGCUCACUGGACCGGUACUGACGCUGAGGUGCGAAAGCGUGGGGAGCAAACAGG
rnacentral:rRNA from 1 species